UACAGAGGUCCCGAGCGUUGUUCGGAUUUAUUGGGCGUAAAGGGUGCGUAGGCGGCGGAGUAAGUUGGGUGUGAAAUCCCGGGGCUCAACCUCGGAAUUGCAUUCAAUACUGCUUCGCUCGAGUACUGGAGAGGAGGCUGGAAUUUACGGUGUAGCAGUGAAAUGCGUAGAUAUCAGGAGGAACACCGGUGGCGAAGGCGGUUCUCUGGGCAUUACCUGACGCUGAGGAGCGAAAGUGUGGGGAGCGAACAGG
rnacentral:rRNA from 1 species